UAGCCCAGCCUGGUCUUGAACUUUGGGGCUCAAGCUAUCUGCUUACCUUGGCCUCUCUAGCUAGGAUUACAGCAUGAGCCACUGUACCCGGCCUCAGUAUUAGAUUUUAGAGUCUUGCUGUUUCAACAGUUUUGUGAAAUGUAUGGGCCAAUGCUUGACAAAUUGUAUUAAUGUAACCACUGACCCAGAUUCUUUAAAAUUCUUUUUUAAAAGAGAGGUGUUUCUUUCUUCUUCAAAGAUUAUUAAAUUGUGGGAAUCAGUCUAAUAAAUUAUUUUCGAAUUCUUAAUUUUGUUUUUAAAAUGAAUGCAUUCUCAGAUAAUGUCUUUCUUCUGAGAGAAUCUGGUGUGUGUUAGAUGUGUAGAAUGCAGCUGUCCUUUUUGAUAUGUAGAAAAUCUUAAGGUUGACAUACUUGGAAUCACAAAAGGAAGCAUAGAGAGAUCUAGCAAUUACUCAUUUUUAAGAUGUUACUACUUUCUAAGUAGUUCUGAAAAUAAGUAUAUAUUGUAGAAAAUUGGGACAAAUUGUAUUAAGUCCAGAGAAAUAAAUUUCAAGAUUUAUGUUCUAUGCAUUACUUGAACUCUAACUCCCAUCAGGGAGGCUAGAUAGCUUUCUUUGUUUUGUAUUUUAAAACAGAUUUGUUUUCUAAAGGUAAAAAGUUUUUUAUGUUAAUAGCCAGCCAAUAGUUAAAUUCUUUAUGGCAACAAAUUCUUCAUGGCA